GAUCAUGGCUCAGGAUGAACGCUGGCGGCGUGCUUAACACAUGCAAGUCGAACGAAGCACUUUAUUAUGAUUUCUUCGGAAUGACGAUUUAGUGACUGAGUGGGCGGACGGGGUGAAGGUAACCGCGUGGGUAACCUGCCUUAUACAGGGGGAUAACAGUUAGAAAUGACUGCUAAUACCGCAUAAGCGCACAGGAUUGCAUGAUCUGGUGUGAAAAACUCCGGUGGUAUAAGAUGG
rnacentral:rRNA from 1 species